UUCCAACCAAAUCAUUUAUAUGCUCUUGC
rnacentral:piRNA from 1 species